rnacentral:rRNA from 1 species
AGAGCGUUCCGUAGGCCUGGGAAGGAGAAUCGCGAGGUUUUCUGGAGGUAUCGGAAAUGAGAAUGCUGGCAUGAGUAUGCGAAAACGCGGGUGAAAAACCCGCGCACCGUAAGUCCAAGGUUUCCUGGGUAAAGCUAAUCUUCCCAGGGUAAGCCGGAUCCUAAGGCGAGGCCGAGAGGCGUAGUCGAUGGGAAUGAGGUUAAUAUUCCUCAGCUUGACGCAACACGUUAUUACCGAUGCGGUGACGCGUGGGGCAGGGCGUAGUGCCUGAUGGAUGGCACGGAUGGCGCGUAAGGCGCACGGUAGUAAAGUACGCCGUGCAUAUGCCUGAGACGUCGGACGGUAGGCGGGCUUCGGCCCAAAUGCCAGUCGCCCCCGCCCACGCCAGGAAAACCCGCUAAGGGAGUAUUGCGUUGACCCGUACCCUAAACCGACUCAGGUGGACGAGGCGAGAAGCCUAAGGUGCUCGAGACAACUCGGGAGAAGGAACUCGGCAAAUUAACCCCGUAACUUCGGGAUAAGGGGAGCCUCCGAGAUUUAGCGUGAACAGCGCGAAGGUUUUGGAGGCCGCAGAGAAAUGGCAGAAGCGACUGUUUACCAAAAACACAGGGCCAUGCAAACUCGCAAGAGGAAGUAUAUGGUCUGACGCGUGCCCGGUGCUGGAAGGUUAACAGGAGAUGUCAGCGCAAGCGAAGCAUUGAAUCGAAGCCCCAGUAAACGGCGGCCGUAACAAUAACGGUCCUAAGGUAGCGAAAUUCCUUGUCGGGUAAGUUCCGACCUGCACGAAUCGUGUAACGACUUCUGCACUGUCUCCUCCCGGGACUCGGCGAAAUUGCAGUGUCGGUGAAGAUGCCGACAACCCGCACCUGGACGGAAAGACCCCAUGAACCUUCACUGUAUCUUGGCAUUGUCUUUAGGCUUAGGAUGUGUAGGAUAGGUGGGAGGCUUUGAAGCGGCGACGCCAGUCGCCGUGGAGCCAUCCUUGAAAUACCACCCUUGCUAAGUUUGAGGUCUAACCGCGGUCCGUAAUCCGGAUCCGGGACAGUGUCUGGUGGUCAGUUUGACUGGGGCGGUCGCCUCCCAAAAAGUAACGGAGGCAUCCAAAGGUUCCCUCAGACCGGUCGGUAAUCGGUCGAAGAGCACAAAGGCAUAAGGGAGCUUAACUGCGAGAUCGACGGAUCGAGCAGAUACGAAAGUAGGGCUUAGUGAUCCCGCGGUACAGCGUGGAAAGGCCGUUGCUCAAUGGAUAAAAGGUACUCUGGGGAUAACAGGCUGAUCUCCCCCAAGCGUUCACAGCGACGGGGAGGUUUGGCACCUCGAUGUCGGCUCGUCGCAUCCUGGGGCUGGAGAAGGUCCCAAGGGUUUGGCUGUUCGCCAAUUAAAGCGGCACGCGAGCUGGGUUCAGAACGUCGUGAGACAGUUCGGUCCCUAUCCGGUGUGGGCGUAUGAUACUUGCGGGAACCUGACCUUAGUACGAGAGGACCGGGUCGGACGCACCUCUAGUGUACCGGCUGUCGCGCCAGCGGCAUCGCCGGGUAGCUAUGUGCGGAUUGGAGAAACGCUGAAAGCAUCUAAGCGUGAAGCCAUCCCCAAGAUUAGGUAUCACUGGGUAUAACCCCUGUAGGUCCGUCGGAGACCACGACGUUGAUAGGUCGCAGGUGUAAGCGUAGCGAUACGUUGAGCCGAGCGAUACUAAUAGACCGUGAGGCUUUU